UUAAGUCAGGAAAGCCUGACUGAUUCCACAGUAUUGUCAUAUUCAUGCCAGGCAGUCUCUUUUUUCCUGUAUUUCCCCUCCCUUCCUUGUGUGUCGCUCUCUCCCUAGGGGCGGGUCCCAGGCUCAGGCAGCUGCAGGUUACACACCUGGUGCCAAUCAUCAAGGCUCUGCUUAAAUACUCCAGCUGUCCAGUCACUCGCUGCCCGAUUGUUGCAGUUUCAAAGUGAAAUCCUCCUGCCAGCUCGUCGCCUCCCUGGACCCGCUCCACUCCCGGCUUUCCUCACUGCUACCCUCCACCUGCCAUCAUCAUUUCCCCACGUCUCAGCUACUCUGAAUUCUCUGGACCCCUCUACUGCUUUGCCAUAUCCUACCUAUAUAUCUAGCUUCCUCCUACCCCUUCCUACCAACCUAUCCCCAUUAAAUGAAUCUGUUCAUUGCUCAGAGUCUAUAAGUGUUCUGGUCCUAAACCCCACUGGUUAUCACACGUAUAAUGAAUUACGAUCAAGUUUAGUGUAAAUGAAAAUGUGAAUCAAUGAAUGUAGGGUAGAGAAAAAUGGCUUUCAAGUUCAUCUUCAGUUAAAUGAGACAGGACUUUACAACACUUUUAAUCUACUCAUAAAAAGAGACAAGAUUAGAAUUAAAGAUGACCCAUAUACUCUUUGCAGUCUGUGUGAUUUAAGAACAUUGUGAGACAUCCAUCAAUGUCUCUGUGCAAAAUUCAGCAAAAAAGAUUAGUCAGAUUGGAGGGGUCAGAGGGUUUCAGUGGUACAUGCAACUGGGUGUCAUCUGCAUAAAAAUGUAAAGGAUAGAUCAACGUGUUGAGGGCAUUUUUUUUUCUCUCGAGCUCUCCUCACACUGUCAGAGGAAGUCAUAAACACACUGAAAAUUGAUACAUUUGUAUCUUCAGACGGGCUAAUAAAAAUAUAAUUUGGUUUUUGUGAACAGAAAUUAAGUAUGGGGAAUAUAAGAUCUGAUCACCAUGAGGUCACAGGAGAAGAAUUCAGAAUACAGUCUGAUAACAGGACUGACGUGACAUAGUUAGAGUCGUGCAGUUGGGAAUUGCUAAAAACAGAUGUUAAAUCCAUGUCUGAAUUGGCAAAGAAAUAUUCUUUCCUUGUGUCAUAAUGCGUGUUACGUUUACUACUUAUUGACAACAUUCUUUGGGUGAUUCACGAAGCCACUGCAAUAGUGUGUUUCUCACACAAAAGAGGAAACUGUUGUUAUAAUUAAAACUCCGUCCGACAGACUGUAUUAUUGUUUUUAAUGGUUUGUUGACGUUGAUGUGACGUACACACUUUGAACUUCACUGUCUAAUUAUAUUGAAUUGCUGCCUUUA